AAAGACUAAUUGCAUUAACUUUGAAUUAAUCCAUACAAAAUAAAUGAGGAUUCAUCAAAACCCAAAUAGCAAGAAAAUUAGUUCUUAAACAUUAUAAUAAAGAAACAAAAAUUAGGAAAAGAAGAUCUCAAACUAUUCCUGGAAGAGUAGAGAUAAAAAAUUUCAAUCUUGAAUCGUUAGUCUUGGAAAGUAAUAAAGGAAAUGAUGUUCUUCCUUGAGAAGUGACCAAUCAAAACCCUAAAAAUGAAAGAAAAUAAAGUUUCUAAGUGUUUCUCUCUCUAGAAAUAAAAAUAUAACGAAACUCCCUUCAAAAGAACCCAUAAGUUCCCUUAAAUGUGUCUUUAUAUACGCCACACAGGGACCACAUGGCCGUGUGACGUCCUUAGCUCAAAAUCGCUCUUGAAACAAUCCUCUAGGUCACACGGGCAUGUCCUCUUCCUGUGCUGCGACUUAAACAAACUGCCAUUUUUUGCAACUCACACGGGAAGCUCAUAUGACGUGUGCUUCUCGUAUGACACAUUCCUUCAAUCUGCCACUUACUGAAAUUCACACGGGCAAGUUAUUCCUGUGGUUCUCCAUCUCGUGAUAAAGAAAAUUUUUUUGGGCUGAUUUCAUUAUAUUUUGAUGCCAAAACUUCUUCUUAUUCUGUAAGCUUUGCCAAGUACCUAAAAAGGACUAAAGAUAAAAUUUAACAAACAAAUUAAACUCAUUUUAAGGUAAAAUCAAAUAGAAAAGACUCAAAGGUAAGUACUUCUAGCACUUAUCAGUCUCUAUAUGAACUCAUCUCAGACUAUGUUCAGGAAGAAAAAACGCUAAAGCAAGAUAGGACAGAGAGUGCUCACCUAGCCUCAACCUUUAAAGACAAAGGCAAAGAAAAUAAAAGGAGAAAGGUUAAGGAAGCUAUAAAUAAGACUCACAAAAGAAACCAGAUAAACCAGAAGGUAUUAUUUGUUUCAUUUAUGGAGCUGAAGGGCAUAAGAAAAAGUAAUGCAACAAUUAUCAUGAA
rnacentral:lncRNA from 1 species